rnacentral:rRNA from 1 species
AGCUAAGGUCCCAAAAUAUAUGUUAAGUGGAAAAGGAUGUGGCGUUGCCCAGACAACUAGGAUGUUGGCUUAGAAGCAGCCAUCAUUUAAAGAGUGCGUAAUAGCUCACUAGUCGAGUGACACUGCGCCGAAAAUGUACCGGGGCUAAACAUAUUACCGAAGCUGUGGAUUGUCCUUUGGACAAUGGUAGGAGAGCGUUCUAAGGGCGUUGAAGCAUGAUCGUAAGGACAUGUGGAGCGCUUAGAAGUGAGAAUGCCGGUGUGAGUAGCGAAAGACGGGUGAGAAUCCCGUCCACCGAUUGACUAAGGUUUCCAGAGGAAGGCUCGUCCGCUCUGGGUUAGUCGGGUCCUAAGCUGAGGCCGACAGGCGUAGGCGAUGGAUAACAGGUUGAUAUUCCUGUACCACCUAUAAUCGUUUUAAUCGAUGGGGGGACGCAGUAGGAUAGGCGAAGCGUGCGAUUGGAUUGCACGUCUAAGCAGUAAGGCUGAGUAUUAGGCAAAUCCGGUACUCGUUAAGGCUGAGCUGUGAUGGGGAGAAGACAUUGUGUCUUCGAGUCGUUGAUUUCACACUGCCGAGAAAAGCCUCUAGAUAGAAAAUAGGUGCCCGUACCGCAAACCGACACAGGUAGUCAAGAUGAGAAUUCUAAGGUGAGCGAGCGAACUCUCGUUAAGGAACUCGGCAAAAUGACCCCGUAACUUCGGGAGAAGGGGUGCUCUUUAGGGUUAACGCCCAGAAGAGCCGCAGUGAAUAGGCCCAAGCGACUGUUUAUCAAAAACACAGGUCUCUGCUAAACCGUAAGGUGAUGUAUAGGGGCUGACGCCUGCCCGGUGCUGGAAGGUUAAGAGGAGUGGUUAGCUUCUGCGAAGCUACGAAUCGAAGCCCCAGUAAACGGCGGCCGUAACUAUAACGGUCCUAAGGUAGCGAAAUUCCUUGUCGGGUAAGUUCCGACCCGCACGAAAGGCGUAACGAUUUGGGCACUGUCUCAACGAGAGACUCGGUGAAAUCAUAGUACCUGUGAAGAUGCAGGUUACCCGCGACAGGACGGAAAGACCCCGUGGAGCUUUACUGUAGCCUGAUAUUGAAAUUCGGCACAGCUUGUACAGGAUAGGUAGGAGCCUUUGAAACGUGAGCGCUAGCUUACGUGGAGGCGCUGGUGGGAUACUACCCUAGCUGUGUUGGCUUUCUAACCGGCACCACUUAUCGUGGUGGGAGACAGUGUCAGGCGGGCAGUUUGACUGGGGCGGUCGCCUCCUAAAAGGUAACGGAGGCGCUCAAAGGUUCCCUCAGAAUGGUUGGAAAUCAUUCAUAGAGUGUAAAGGCAUAAGGGAGCUUGACUGCGAGACCUACAAGUCGAGCAGGGUCGAAAGACGGACUUAGUGAUCCGGUGGUUCCGCAUGGAAGGGCCAUCGCUCAACGGAUAAAAGCUACCCCGGGGAUAACAGGCUUAUCUCCCCCAAGAGUUCACAUCGACGGGGAGGUUUGGCACCUCGAUGUCGGCUCAUCGCAUCCUGGGGCUGUAGUCGGUCCCAAGGGUUGGGCUGUUCGCCCAUUAAAGCGGUACGCGAGCUGGGUUCAGAACGUCGUGAGACAGUUCGGUCCCUAUCCGUCGUGGGCGUAGGAAAUUUGAGAGGAGCUGUCCUUAGUACGAGAGGACCGGGAUGGACAUACCUCUGGUGUACCAGUUGUCGUGCCAACGGCAUAGCUGGGUAGCUAUGUGUGGACGGGAUAAGUGCUGAAAGCAUCUAAGCAUGAAGCCCCCCUCAAGAUGAGAUUUCCCAACUUCGGUUAUAAGAUCCCUCAAAGAUGAUGAGGUUAAUAGGUUCGAGGUGGAAGCAUGGUGACAUGUGGAGCUGACGAAUACUAAUCGAUCGAAGACUUAAUCAA